GCGCCACUGCACUCCCACCUGGGCCACUGAGCGAGACUCCGUCUCAAAAAAAAAAAAAAAAAAAAAAAAAAGUGAUGUAACUCUUGUCUAGGCUCUGCCUACAGGGGCUUUGUGACAUAUCUCUGCACUGAUCACCCAGGUGAUGGGACUUUGUCUAGGCUCUGCCUAUGGGGACAUUGUGACAUAUCUCUACACUGAUCACCCAGGUAAUGUAACUCUUGUGUUGGAUCUGCCUAUGGGGGCAUUGUGACAUAUCUCUACACUGAUCACCCAGGUAAUGUAACUCUUGUGUUGGAUCUGCCUAUGGGGGCAUUGUGACAUAUUUCUGCACUGAUCACCUAGGUGAUGGGACACUUGUCUAGGCUCUGUGUAUGGGGGCUUUGUGACAUAUCUCCGCACUGAUCACACAGGUGAUGUAACGCUUGACUAGGCUCUGUCUACGGGGCAUAAUGACAUAUCACUGCAUUGAUCACCGAGGUGAUGUAACUCUUGUCCAGGAUCUGCCUAUAGGGGGCCUUGUGACAUAUCUCUGCACUAAUCAACUAGGUGAUGUAAAUCUUGCUUAUGCUCUGCCUGCAGGGGCAUUGUGAAAUAUCUCUGCACCGAUCACCCACGUGAUGGGACUCUUCUCUAGGCUCUGCCUACUGGAGGCAUUGUCACAUAUUUCUGCACUGAUCACCCAGGUGAUGCAACUGUUCUCUAUGCUCUACCUACAGGGGCAUUGUGACAUAUCUCUGCACUGAUCACCCAGGUGAUGUAACUAUUUUCUACUCUGUGGCUACAGAGGGCGUUGUGAUAUCACUCUGCACGGAUCACCCCAGUCAUAUAACUCUUCUCUAGGCUCUGCCAAUGGGGGCAGUGUGACUUAUCUCUGCACUGAUCACCCAGGAGAUGUGACUCUUGGCUAAGCUCUGCCUAGAGGGACAUUGGGAUAUAUCUCUGCACUUUUCGCUGAGGUGAUGUAAAACUUGUCUAGGCUUUGCCUACAGUGGGAUUUAUGACAUAUCUCUGCACUGAUCACCCAGGUGAUGUAACUCUUGUCUAGGCUCUGCUUACAGUGGGUAUUGUGAGAUAUCUCUGCACUGAUCACCCAGGCGGUGUAACUCUGAUCUAAGCUCUGCCUAAAGGGGCAUUUUGACAGUUCUCCGCACUGAUCACUCAGGUGAUGUAACAAUUGUCUAGGUUCUGCUUAAAGGGGCCUUGUCACAUAUCUCUGCACUGAUCACCCAGGUGAUGUAACUCUUGUCUAGGCUCUGCUUACAGGGGGUAUUGUGACAUAUAUCUGCACUGAUCACCUAAGUGAUGUAACACUUGUGUAGGCUCUGCCUACAGGGGCAUUUUGACAUAUCUCUGCACUGUUAAACGAGGUGAUGUAACUCUUGUCUAGGCUGUGCCCACAGGGGGAUUGAGACAUAUCUCUGCACUGAUCCCGAGAUGAUCCAACUCUUACCUGGUCUCUGCCUACUGGGGACUUUGUGACAUAUCUCUGCACUUAUCUCCCAGGUGCUGUAACUUUAGUCUAGGCUCUGGCUAUACGGCAUUGUGACAUAUCACUGCACUGAUCACCCAGGUGUUAUAACUCUUGUCUAGGCUCUGCCUACAGGGGCUUGUGACAUAACUCUGCACUGACCACCCAGGUGAUAUAACUCUUCUCUAGGAUCUCCCUAUAGGGUGCUUUGUGACAUAUCAAUGCAAUGGUCACCCAGGUGAUAUACCACUUGUCAAGGCUCUGCCUACAGGGGCAUUGCGAUGUAUCUCUGCACUGAUCACCUAGGUCAUGUAACUCUUGUCUAGGCUCUGCCUAUGGGGGCAUUGUGACAUAUCUCUACACUGAUCACCCAG
rnacentral:lncRNA from 1 species